rnacentral:rRNA from 1 species
AAAGGGUGAUAGCCCCGUACACUAAAAUGCACAGGUCGUGAGUUCGAUGAGUAGGGCGGGACACGUGACAUCCUGUCUGAAUAUGGGGGGACCAUCCUCCAAGGCUAAAUACUCCUGACUGACCGAUAGUGAACCAGUACCGUGAGGGAAAGGCGAAAAGAACCCCGGCGAGGGGAGUGAAAUAGAACCUGAAACCGUGUACGUACAAGCAGUGGGAGCACCUUCGUGGUGUGACUGCGUACCUUUUGUAUAAUGGGUCAGCGACUUAUAUUUUGUAGCAAGGUUAACCGUAUAGGGGAGCCGUAGGGAAACCGAGUCUUAACUGGGCGACUAGUUGCAAGGUAUAGACCCGAAACCCGGUGAUCUAGCCAUGGGCAGGUUGAAGGUUGGGUAACACUAACUGGAGGACCGAACCGACUAAUGUUGAAAAAUUAGCGGAUGACUUGUGGCUGGGGGUGAAAGGCCAAUCAAACCGGGAGAUAGCUGGUUCUCCCCGAAAGCUAUUUAGGUAGCGCCUCGUGAACUCAUCUUCGGGGGUAGAGCACUGUUUCGGCUAGGGGGCCAUCCCGGCUUACCAAACCGAUGCAAACUCCGAAUACCGAAGAAUGUUAUCACGGGAGACACACGGCGGGUGCUAACGUCCGUCGUGAAGAGGGAAACAACCCAGACCGCCAGCUAAGGUCCCAAAGUCAUGGUUAAGUGGGAAACGAUGUGGGAAGGCAUAGACAGCCAGGAUGUUGGCUUAGAAGCAGCCAUCAUUUAAAGAAAGCGUAAUAGCUCACUGGUCGAGUCGGCCUGCGCGGAAGAUGUAACGGGGCUAAACCAUGCACCGAAGCUGCGGCAGCGACGCUUAGGCGUUGUUGGGUAGGGGAGCGUUCUGUAAGCCGUUGAAGGUGGCCUGUGAGGGUUGCUGGAGGUAUCAGAAGUGCGAAUGCUGACAUAAGUAACGAUAAAGCGGGUGAAAAGCCCGCUCGCCGGAAGACCAAGGGUUCCUGUCCAACGUUAAUCGGGGCAGGGUGAGUCGACCCCUAAGGCGAGGCUGAAAAGCGUAGUCGAUGGGAAACAGGUUAAUAUUCCUGUACUUGGUGUUACUGCGAAGGGGGGACGGAGAAGGCUAGGCUAGCCGGGCGACGGUUGUCCCGGUUUAAGCGUGUAGGGGGUGUGACCUGGUAAAUCCGGUUGCAUACUAACCCUGAGGCGUGAUGACGAUGCACUACGGUGCAGAAGUAGUUGAUGCCCUGCUUCCAGGAAAAUCCUCUAAGCUCCAGGUAACAUUAAAUCGUACCCCAAACCGACACAGGUGGUCAGGUAGAGAAUACCAAGGCGCUUGAGAGAACUCGGGUGAAGGAACUAGGCAAAAUGGUGCCGUAACUUCGGGAGAAGGCACGCUGGCAUGUAGGUGAAGUCCCUCGCGGAUGGAGCUGAAGCCAGUCGAAGAUACCAGCUGGCUGCAACUGUUUAAUAAAAACACAGCACUGUGCAAACACGAAAGUGGACGUAUACGGUGUGACGCCUGCCCGGUGCUGGAAGGUUAAUUGAUGGGGUCAGCCGCAAGGCGAAGCUCUUGAUCGAAGCCCCAGUAAACGGCGGCCGUAACUAUAACGGUCCUAAGGUAGCGAAAUUCCUUGUCGGGUAAGUUCCGACCUGCACGAAUGGCGUAAUGAUGGCCAGGCUGUCUCCACCCGAGACUCAGUGAAAUUGAACUCGCUGUGAAGAUGCAGUGUACCCGCGGCAAGACGGAAAGACCCCGUGAACCUUUACUAUAGCUUGACACUGAACAUUGAGCCUUGAUGUGUAGGAUAGGUGGGAGGCUUUGAAGCGUGGACGCCAGUCUGCGUGGAGCCAUCCUUGAAAUACCACCCUUUAAUGUUUGAUGUUCUAACUCGGCCCCAU